ACUGGCAGAAUGGAGUUCUCGGAGCUGAUCCAUACGGGCUGAGCCCAAGCAGAGUUUCUACGGGGCCCGGAGGCGCCCCCGCUUCGCGGCACGGUGUGAGUCACCGUCCACCACCUGCUCCUGUCGCCAGGGCCCGCGUCCUCUCCGGACCUGUGGCUGCUGCUGUUGCGUAGCGUCGACUCCUUCGAGAAGCAACCAACGCGUGGCGGCUGAGCGAGGUGAACGAGGACUUCAGCUUGUGCCCCAGAUACCCCCGUGCGGUGAUCGUGCCAUACUUGGUGGACGAUGAUGCCCUGGCGCGCAGCGCCCGCUUCCGUCAGGGAGGUCGCUUCCCGGUGCUCAGCUACCACCCGGCUCCCAGCGGCAGAGGGAGCGCGCCCUCCCCACGCUCCGCCCCUGGGUGGCUGCGUCCUUUCUGGGCCUUUUCUUUUUGGCCCGGUCAAUUCGCGGCGUAGCCGCUGCCCCAACUCCUGCCCCAUUCUGGUCCCGCCCCUCUCCCGCCUUUUCGCUGGGAAGGGUAUCACCUUUCUCUGGCCCCGCCCCUGACGGUUCCGGGCCCCGCGAAGCUUAGUCCCUUCUUUGUCAAGCCAGGACCCGCCCACGGUCUAUUCAUAGGGUCCCAAACCACUUUGGCCACAACACCCCCAGACUGGUCCGAAGCCUCGUGAGUUCGCCCUGGUCGUUGCACUCCAGCCUGUCGCUGUGCAGACCUGGCUUAGAGGACCCCUAAGGCUGAGGGGUCACUUCCAGAACUGAGUCCGGUCCGCAGGUUCUGCUACGCUCCAGCCAGCCCCUAACUGGUCCCCAGAAGCGGCGCUGCUACAGGGACCAGGAGCUGCUGCGAACUGCGCUGGCGGGGGCUCGUCCUUGGGCGCGGGGCUUCAUCAUGGACACGCUCUCGGCCCAGGCCGCGAAACAAGCCCGCGUGACUGGCGGAGGCACAGAGACCAAGGCCGCUUAACCUGGCUGGUUGCACUGGUCCCUGGAGAGGAUUCUGUGUCUCCCUCAUUGGUCUUGAGCACUUGCUCCCUGGCUGUACUUGGCAAGGGCUUGAGCUGGAAAAGAUGACCAGACUCCCACCGCCCAGAGGGCGUCCCCUGCAGGAGAGCUUCAUGCGCCUGGUGGAGGCCUGUGGGGACUCGGAGCAAAGCAUGGACAACUGGCUGAGUCGGCUGGACGGCUGCCGCUGACUGUAACAUGUAAAGCAGGCACUGAGCACCACCUGCCUGGCAGUCCAGGGCAUGGAGAGGCACAGACAGCACCCUGCUUGUGACUUCACUGGCCCAACUCAUCCUGGACCCCUUGAGCAAGACCAUGGCUGGAUUCCAGGAACUGGUGGAGUGGAAGUGGAUCCAGGAAAAUGCCGUGUGAAGGGAGGACUCAGAUGCACUCCCUGUGGUCUGGGCUCAACCAGCCAAAAGAGCAACAAAGACUCCAGAACCCACUCUACCUCCUCAAUCCCUUGGCCAUCUGUGGAGCCCCAGAGCCUGCGGCUGUGGCAAGGCCUGUUUCUGCGCUGGACCUGCUCACCUGAGCCUGCAGAAGCUGCAUGGGGGAAGAGUGUGGCAAAUAGUGACAGGAAGGGAGAAGACAGAAGCCUCUCAGCCAACUGCUUCAGCCGAGCCCCUAUUCUAAGCACUGGCUCCUUGGAUAGCAGCUGAGAUGUUCCUGAAACCUCUGCAGGCCCCUUAGGACCUUUACACCUUGGAUGAGGGUGCCUGCAACCCAGGUUAGCCAAAAGUACUGAGGGUCUUAAGUUUGAAGUGUCCAAAGUAUAGGGAGGUCUCAAUAAUAAAAGUCUCCAUGAUCAGCA
ensembl:lncRNA novel transcript